GACGAACGCUGGCGGCGUGCCUAAUACAUGCAAGUAGAACGCUGAAGGAGGAGCUUGCUCUUCUGGAUGAGUUGCGAACGGGUGAGUAACGCGUAGGUAACCUGCCUGGUAGCGGGGGAUAACUAUUGGAAACGAUAGCUAAUACCGCAUAAGAGUAGAUGUUGCAUGACAUUUGCUUAAAAGGUGCAAUUGCAUCACUACCAGAUGGACCUGCGUUGUAUUAGCUAGUUGGUGGGGUAACGGCUCACCAAGGCGACGAUACAUAGCCGACCUGAGAGGGUGAUCGGCCACACUGGGACUGAGACACGGCCCAGACUCCUACGGGAGGCAGCAGUAGGGAAUCUUCGGCAAUGGACGGAAGUCUGACCGAGCAACGCCGCGUGAGUGAAGAAGGUUUUCGGAUCGUAAAGCUCUGUUGUAAGAGAAGAACGAGUGUGAGAGUGGAAAGUUCACACUGUGACGGUAUCUGACCAGAAAGGGACGGCUAACUACGUG
rnacentral:rRNA from 1 species